rnacentral:tRNA from 7 species
ACUUGGCUAGCUCAGUUGGUAAAAUACAAGGCUCUUAAACCUUGUGGUUGUGGGUUCGAGCCCCAUGGUGGGCG